CAGUCGCCACGGUAAUACGAAGGGUGCAAGCGUUACUCGGAAUUACUGGGCGUAAAGCGUGCGUAGGUGGUGGUUUAAGUCCGUUGUGAAAGCCCUGGGCUCAACCUGGGAAUUGCAGUGGAUACUGGGUCACUAGAGUGUGGUAGAGGAUAGUGGAAUUUCCGGUGCAGCAGUGAAAUGCGUAGAGAUCGGAAGGAACAUCUGUGGCGAAGGCGACUAUCUGGGCCAACACUGACACUGAGGCACGAAAGCGUGGGGAGCAAACAGGAUUAGAUACCCGCGUAGUCCCUGUCUCUUAUAC
rnacentral:rRNA from 1 species